GACGAACCGUGCGAACGUUGUUCGGAUUCACUGGGCUUAAAGGGCGCGUAGGCGGGCCGACAAGUCUGGGGUGAAAUCCUCUCGCUCAACGAGAGAACGGCCCUGGAUACUGCCGGUCUUGAGGGAGGUAGGGGCAUGUGGAACUUCCGGUGGAGCGGUGAAAUGCGUAGAUAUCGGAAGGAACGCCGGUGGCGAAAGCGACGUGCUGGACCUUUUCUGACGCUGAGGCGCGAAAGCCAGGGGAG
rnacentral:rRNA from 1 species